rnacentral:rRNA from 1 species
GACGAACGCUGGCGGCGUGCCUAACACAUGCAAGUCGAGCGGGGGACUUCGGUCCCCAGCGGCGGACGGGUGAGUAACACGUGGGUAACCUGCCUCAUAGAGGGGGAUAGCCUCCCGAAAGGGAGAUUAAUACCGCAUAACACUGCGAAGACACAUGUUUUUGCAGUUAAAGGAGUAAUCCGCUAUGAGAUGGGCCCGCGGCGCAUUAGCUAGUUGGUGAGGUAACGGCUCACCAAGGCCACGAUGCGUAGCCGACCUGAGAGGGUGAUCGGCCACAUUGGAACUGAGACACGGUCCAGACUCCUACGGGAGGCAGCAGUGGGGAAUAUUGCACAAUGGGCGAAAGCCUGAUGCAGCAACGCCGCGUGGAGGAUGAAGGCCUUCGGGGUGUAAACCACUGCUGCCCGGGACGAACGAUGAGCAUUGGCUCAUGUGACGGUACCGGGUGAGGAAGCACCGGCUAACUCUGUGCCA